rnacentral:rRNA from 1 species
CGGAACGGGUGAGUAAUACAUCGGAACGUGCCCACGACGUGGGGGAUAACGAGGCGAAAGCUUUGCUAAUACCGCAUACGAUCUAAGGAUGAAAGCAGGGGACCGCAAGGCCUUGCGCGUUUGGAGCGGCCGAUGGCAGAUUAGGUAGUUGGUGGGAUAAAAGCUUACCAAGCCGACGAUCUGUAGCUGGUCUGAGAGGACGACCAGCCACACUGGGACUGAGACACGGCCCAG